GCGCUCACCUUGGCAGCACAUAUGCCAAAAUUGGAACGACACAGAGAAGAUUAGCAUGGCCCCGUGCAAGGAUGACACACAAAUUCAUGAAGCAGUCCAUAUUUUU